rnacentral:lncRNA from 1 species
CAAAGAGGAGCCAUUGAAGAAUACUGUUGUCCUAUCCCAGAAGGAGCAAGCGGACAACACUGAUAUCCUGACCACUAACCAUCCAGCACCACUUAAAGCCACACUCUCCUCUUUGGUCUUUCCUGGUACGCAGCAUACAAGCCCACAGAUUGAGGACUCUGCACUUGCUGUUCUCUCUGCCUGGAGCUCUAUGGCUCCAGAUAGACUCCUGCCAACUCCUUCGCCUUGUCCAAGUUACCUUCAUUAAAUGUCAGCUUAAAUGUGUGCCUACUUUUUGCCCUACCUAGAAUUGCAAGCACCUCUCACCACUGUGCUCCCAUUCUCCUUAACUUAAGCCACUUUUAUUCUCAUAAUAAAGCCACAUAUUUUUUCUUAUUAUAUCAUAAUCGUACUGUAUAAUUUAUAUUUUAUUACUUUUGUUUGUAUACUUAUUGUAUGUUUCUGUUCACAAGGAUGUAAACCCCAUGAACACAGAGAUCUUUGAUUGUUUUAUUCACUGAUUUAUGCCAAAUGUUUGGAACAAUGCCUGGCA